rnacentral:rRNA from 1 species
GUGAGGAAUAUUGCGCAAUGGAGGCAACUCUGACGCAGCCAUGCCGCGUGCAGGAAGAAGGCGCUACGCGUUGUAAACUGCUUUUAACCGGGAAGAAACCCCAGGACGUGUCCUGGGUUGACGGUACCGGAGGAAUAAGCACCGGCUAACUUCGUGCCAGCAGCCGCGGUAAUACGAAGGGUGCAAGCGUUAUCCGGAUUCAUUGGGUUUAAAGGGUGCGUAGGCGGAGCGUUAAGUCAGUGGUGAAAUCCUGCAGCUUAACUGUAGACUUGCCAUUGAUACUGGCGCGCUUGAGUGCGCUUGAAGUGGGCGGAAUGUGCCGUGUAGCGGUGAAAUGCUUAGAUAUGGCACAGAACACCAAUUGCGAAGGCAGCUCACUAAGGCGAUACUGACGCUGAGGCACGAAAGCGUGGGGAUCGAACAGGAUUAGAAACCCGUGUAGUCC